UACGUAGGGUGCAAGCGUUAAUCGGAAUUACUGGGCGUAAAGCGUGCGCAGGCGGCUUUGUAAGUCAGAUGUGAAAUCCCCGGGCUUAACCUGGGAACUGCGUUUGAAACUACAAGGCUAGAGUGUAGCAGAGGGGGGUGGAAUUCCACGUGUAGCAGUGAAAUGCGUAGAGAUGUGGAGGAACACCGAUGGCGAAGGCAGCCCCCUGGGUCAAGAUUGACGCUCAUGCACGAAAGCGUGGGGAGCAAACAGG
rnacentral:rRNA from 1 species